GUCUACGGCCAUACCACGUUGAAAGCACCAGUUCACUGAAGUUGAGCAACGUCGGGCUCGGUUAGUACUUGGAUGGGUGACCGCCUAGGAACGCCGAGUGCUGUAGACU
rnacentral:rRNA from 1 species